UUUCCGUAGGUGAACCUGCGGAAGGAUCAUUCAUAAUAAGUGUUUUAUGGCACUUUUUUAAAUACAUAUCCACCUUGUGUGCAAUGUCAGGGUUGAAUUUUCUCUCGAGAGGAUCAACCCCAAACACCAACUAUAUCUCAACUCUUUGACUGAAAAAUAUUAUGAAUAAAACAAUUCAAAAUACAACUUUCAACAACGGAUCUCUUGGCUCUC
rnacentral:misc_RNA from 1 species